rnacentral:rRNA from 1 species
UACGAAGGGAGCUAGCGUUGUUCGGAAUCACUGGGCGUAAAGCGCACGUAGGCGGAUGUGUCAGUCAGGGGUGAAAUCCCGGAGCUCAACUUCGGAACUGCCUUUGAUACAGCACGUCUUGAGUCCGAUAGAGGUGGGUGGAAUUCCCAGUGUAGAGGUGAAAUUCGUAGAUAUUCGGAAGAACACCAGUGGCGAAGGCGGCUCACUGGACCGGCAUUGACGCUGAGGUGCGAAAGCGUGGGGAGCAAACAGG